GAUGAACGCUGACAGAAUGCUUAACACAUGCAAGUCAACUUGAACUUCGGUUUGGGUGGCGGACGGGUGAGUAACGCGUACAGAACUUGCCUCACAGCUAGGGACAACAUUUGGAAACGAAUGCUAAUACCUGAUAUUAUGAUUAUAUGGCAUCGUAUAAUUAUGAAAGCUAUAUCCGCUGUGAGAGAGCUUUGCGUCCCAUUAGCUAGUUGGAGAGGUAACAGCUCACCAAGGCGAUGAUGGGUAGCCGGCCUGAAAGGGUGAACGGCCACAAGGGGACGGGGACACGGCCCUUACUCAUACUGGACGCAGGGGGUAGGAAUGUUGGAGAAACGCCGGGGGGUCUAUGCAGGUAUUCGUGUGGUAAAACUAUGUUUUUUGGGAAUAAAAAGUGUUUUCAUUUGGAAGAAAAAAAUGACGGUACCCAACAAAAAAAGGACGGCUAAAUUCCUG
rnacentral:rRNA from 1 species